rnacentral:rRNA from 1 species
GACAGAGGAUGCAAGCGUUAUCCGGAAUGAUGGCGUAAAGCGUCUGUAGGUGGUCUUUUAAGUCCGCCGUCAAUCCCAGGGCUCAACCCUGGACAGGCGGAUGGAAACUACCAAGCUGGAGUACGGUGAGGGGCAGAGGGAAUUUCCGGUGGAGCGGGUGGAAAUGCGUAGAGAUACGGAAAGAACACCAAACGGGCGAA